AGCUGAAGGUUUGAGACUCAGGAUGGGGUCAUGGCUGAGACUAUGAGGGCUGCUCGUGCAUGACCCUGCCUGCUGGCCUCCAUGGGCCCACUAUCUGAAUGUGGUUACCCUUCUCCCCAGGACCAGGUGCCACCUCCUCUGGGAAGCUUUCCCUGCCCGUCCACAGGGUAUGCCUCCUUGUUCCUCUCCUGCCAUCGGUUUACGUGCCUGUCUCCAUCAACAGACCAGGAGCUCCUGAGGACAGGGACUGAGUCUGCCUGAUUCAUCUCUGCAUUCCUAGCACUUACCUUGGUGCUUAGUGAAAGCUCGAACCUGCCUGGGUUCCCACCUUGUCUCUGCUACCCCCAGCUCUGUGAACUCAGGCUGGAGUGCAAUGGCGUGAUCUCGGCUCACUGCAACCUCUGCCUCCCAGGUUCAAGCAAUUCUCCUGCCUCAGCCUCCCGAGUAGCUGGGAUUAUAGGCAUGCACCACCACGCCCAGCUCCUGCCUCUGUGAGUCACCCCCCCAAGUGCUCUGCCUGCAGCCACUUGCCCUGGCAGGAAGACCCUUGGGCAGGCCCCACCAUGGCUCCACUCUGGAAUGCUGGGCACUUUGCCCCACUACGCUCUACAAAGGCAUCCCUUCCUUCUGGGCAGAUAUAAAACACAGAGGGGCCCAGAUCUCAGGCCAGCCUGAACUGAGCUUCUCUGCAGGAUGAUCUCCUCACCAGAACCCCUGGACAGGAGGGUCUGCCAGAUCCCAGGAAGGAGAUGUGUGAAGCCAGCCUUGGUGACACUCCUGGGCCCCAUCCAGUCAGUUAUGAAAAGUCUCUGCUGCUAAACUCAUCUGCCUCAGCCUGUCUCUGGCCUGUCUUCUUUCUUUCUGCAUUUCUUCCUUUUAAAAAAGUUUAUUGCUCUUUUCUAAUGUUAAAAGUAACACAUACUGAUUGCAGAAAAUCCAGAAAAGCACAAAGAAAAAAAUUAAAAUCACUCGUAAUGUCAACA
rnacentral:lncRNA from 1 species